UACGUAGGUGGCAAGCGUUGUCCGGAAUUAUUGGGCGUAAAGCGCACGUAGGCGGCUUGCCAAGUCGGACGUGAAAUCCCUCAGCUCAACUGAGGACGUGCAUCCGAAACUGGCGAGCUUGAGUGCUGAAGAGGAUCGCGGAAUUCCCGGUGUAGAGGUGAAAUUCGUAGAUAUCGGGAGGAACACCAGUGGCGAAGGCGGCGAUCUGGGCAGACACUGACGCUGAGGUGCGAAAGCGUGGGGAGCAAACAGG
rnacentral:rRNA from 1 species